CAGAGAAUAGUUUAUAUAAAAUAUUAGUUUUGGGGACUAAUGAUAGGAGGUUUCUUCUUUCUCUGA
rnacentral:tRNA from 1 species